GUUUGCCUUUGUUGCUGCUGAAAAUCUCAAAAAAAAAAGUGCCUAUUUCAACUCACUGUGUUAAAAUCUAGUGCCAUGUGUGAAUAUGACUUAUGUCCUUCUUUAAAUCUCUUAUCUCUUAUUCAUUUAGGCAUAUUUGUGAGUGUUUAGCAGGCUUAAAAGUGUUAGUUUGACUUCUUUUAGCAUGCUUAAAAUAUGUUUGGGUGUCUUUAUUUAUUAAUCUNNNN
rnacentral:lncRNA from 1 species